rnacentral:lncRNA from 1 species
GGGUUCUUUGAUAUGCUGAAUCUUAACAUGUACUUAGAUUUUUGAUUAUGGCCCAGUUUUCAAAUUGGUCCAAAUUGGGGUCCAAAAUUAAACUUUUGAUUUCAUCAAAAAUUGAAUAAUUGGGGUUCUUUGAUAUGCCAAAUCUAACUGUGUAUGUAGAUGAUCAGGGUCCAAAAUUAUUAUAUUAAGUAUUGUGCAAUAGCAAGAAAUUUUCAAUUGCACAGUAUUCCGCAAUAUCAAGAAAUCUUCAAUUGCACAGUAUUGUGCAAUAGCAAGAAAUGUUCAAUUGCACAGUAUUCCGCAAUAGCAAGAAAUCUUCAAUUGCAUAUUCUAAUGCAACAAUGAUUGUAACGUUCAUUAUGAUUUGAAAACGUCACUUCCUUACAUGGCAUCAAUUGACAAUUGAUGCUAUGGGACGUACGCGCAUGCGCACACGGCAUAUGACAAAUUUUAAAUACAUGUUUUAACGUUGUUUCCUGUCAGUUUCAUUAGAAUGGAGAUAACAAUAUUGUAUUUAAAGCUCCGACGGCAUCAAUUUUGGAUUUGAUGGUUGCAAAUACC